GCAGGACUGGGUUGUGUGUUGGAGCUGGGAAGUACUUGGAUUAAAGGUUCAGAAGUAAAUUACCACAAAAAUGCAGAUGGAACCUGUAAUACUUGCUUCCACAUCAUUCAUCCAGCGGUUUGGGAGCUGCAGAUCAGCAUGUGAAAGACAGCAGUUAAAAUACAGAGCCCGUUCCUAUCUCCGCCACUCUGCACUGGUGUAAAUCAAGGCUAAGACUCAUGAACCCAAUGGAGUGUAAAAUUGAGCAAGACCUAAUGAAACAAGAAGUGGCUGUGAAGCUCAUCGGAAAAGAAAAUAAGCAUUCUCAUAGAAAUUGUGAGUCCUUUGCAAGGAGGAGAGAUGCACCUAUUGGGAUUGCUUAUCUGGGAGAAUUUGGCCUUUGUCCUCUCUCUGCUUGCUCAUCAGACACAUUGCCCAGCCUGUUGGCCACGUGCCUUAGCCAUGGUGCUGCUUGGGACCUGCAAAGCACUGGAGCAGAGCUGUGCUGCCCACCUGCAGCCUGCAUGCAGGGAUGCAAAAGGAGCAUUUAGUCAUCUAAUGCUAUAAUGUUGUGAGGAGCCAGGGCACACAGGCAAUGGCACUCAGCUCAUCCUGGAGAACCCUGCCUGCAGUGUCUCAUGCUGCUGGAAAGGAACUUUGCAGAAAUACCUAUGUGUUGUUAGAGCCAAUACAAAGGUAUAUCUGAUUGAUGAUUUAUUAUGGUCUGCUGGGUAAAUAACGCUGCUUAAGGAAACUAAAGUGCAAAUGAGAGUAGAUAUUUGACUGUUGAACUAGAAGAGAAUUGAGAUAUAGAUUAUAUAACAUUUGUUGCUUUUAAAAAAAAUUAAAUAAAUCAGCGACCAG
rnacentral:lncRNA from 1 species